GAGGAAUAUUGGUCAAUGGGCGAGAGCCUGAACCAGCCAAGUCGCGUGAAGGAUGACUGUCUUAUGGAUUGUAAACUUCUUUUAUACGGGAAUAACAAGAGUCACGUGUGACUCCCUGCAUGUACCGUAUGAAUAAGCAUCGGCUAACUCCGUGCCAGCAGCCGCGGUAAUACGGAGGAUGCGAGCGUUAUCCGGAUUUAUUGGGUUUAAAGGGUGCGUAGGCGGUUUGUUAAGUUAGCGGUGAAAUCUAGAGGCUCAACCUCGAAACUGCCGUUGAAACUGGCGAACUUGAGUGUAGAUGAGGUAGGCGGAAUUCGUGGUGUAGCGGUGAAAUGCAUAGAUAUCACGAGGAACUCCGAUUGCGAAGGCAGCUUACUAAGGUACAACUGACGCUGAAGCACGAAAGCGUGGGUAUCAAACAGGAUUAGAUACCCUGGUAGUCCACGCAGUAAACGAUGAUAACUGGGCGUAUGCGAUAUACAGUAUGCUCCUAAGCGAAAGCGUUAAGUUAUCCACCUGGGGAGUACGCCGGCAACGGUG
rnacentral:rRNA from 1 species